AUGGAAGACAAGACCUGGAGAGAUUAGCUUUGGUAAGAUGACCCACUGCCUCCCCUUUCAUCCCAGUUAUCGUUGAGAGUCAGGAUGGAUUCUUCUACCUCUGGUCUCCUUAGGGAUACCCACUGUCACUUCCCUUCAUAUACCUGGGGUCACUCCACUAUCAAGGAGAGAUGUUGUUCCUUGGGUUAGGCAGUUUGGAUCACUGGGAUCCUGAGCUAACCUCUCCCCUUUUUGGGGAGAGAUGUGAUUCUCCCCAAAUAUUCUGCCCACUUUCCUAGUAUCAGAAACCAGCCAGACCUAAUUCUAAAGUAGUAAACAAUUAUUUGGGUUCACGCAGGGAAGGAGAGGUUAGGGUGUCAGGCAAGGAAAGUGGGGAAGCAGGGAGCCCUAACACUUGUCCCCUCUGGCAGACUGGCCCCCCAACUUCUCAGGAUUCAAGGCUGAGUGCCUUGAACCCUCUUCUAGCCAGCUGCUGGUUGAUCCCUAUUCCUCAGCUAAUUAGCUUUUAAUUCUGGAGUCCAGGAACAGGUCAGGGAGAGAGAGAAAUCUCAGGGAAAGAUCUGGAUGGCUCUGGCUAGAGUAAGUCCAAAUCCAAAACCCCCUUGAGAAUUCAGGUAGCUGUUCUUGAAGAAUCUUAGUGGAGGUAUUUUUGGGUCCCAGAAGGAAUAAUAGGUCCCUCUUUCUCAGCUUCCAGGAAAACCACGUUCCUCCUUCACUUCCCAGGCUGGAAGAUGGUUGACAGUUGGCUUCAGAGUUCUAACCCCUUUAGAACUCCCAGGCUUCUCUCUCUGCCCCUCCUCUGCUGCUCUUCAGCUCAUCUUUCCUUCAACCUGGCUUCUCAUUGCAACCCCCUGGAUCUCUCUUUCUUACAUUACAUGUGUGUUCUUCCUCCCAUUUACUUCUAACUUAAAUCUGGCUCCUGCAACUUUGAUCUAUUGCUAUUAGCUCUGUCCCCUGGGAUCAAGAACAAAUGUUGUCCUUUUUCCACAUGGUAGCCCUUCAGAUCCUUGAAGACAGAGGCAUCAUGAUCAUCUUGAGUGAAAGGGUCUCCCAGAUCAAUUUAUAUCUAAACUGAAAUAAACUCUAUGACCUCCUGAGUGUGUAGUCUUCU
rnacentral:lncRNA from 1 species